CCGAGAAUAUUCGACAAUGGGCGAAAGCCUGAUCGAGCGACGCCGCGUGGUUGAUGAAGUCCUUCGGGACGUAAAAACCUUUUAUGGGGGAGGAAGUUAUUGACGUUACCCCAUGAAUAAGAGGCUCCUAACUCUGUGCCAGCAGGAGCGGUAAUACAGAGGCCUCAAGCAUUAUCCGGAAUCACUGGGCGUAAAGGGUGUGUAGGCGGUCGUAUUAGUCUUUUGUUAAAGUCUUUGGGCUUAACCCAGAGAAUGCAGGGGAAACGGUACGACUUGAGGGCGCGAGAGGUAUAUGGAACUCAUGGUGUAGGGGUGAAAUCCGUUGAUAUCAUGGGGAACACCAAAUGCGAAGGCAAUAUACUGGCGCGUUCCUGACGCUGAGACACGAAAGCGUGGGAAUCGAACGGGAUUAGAUACCCCGGUAGUCC
rnacentral:rRNA from 1 species